CCUACGGGAGGCAGCAGUGGGGAAUAUUGGACAAUGGGCGAAAGCCUGAUCCAGCCAUGCCGCGUGUGUGAAGAAGGCCUUCGGGUUGUAAAGCACUUUCAAUGGGGAAGAAAGCCUUGGGGCUAAUACCCUCGAGGAAGGACAUCACCCACAGAAGAAGCACCGGCUAACUCCGUGCCAGCAGCCGCGGUAAUACGGAGGGUGCGAGCGUUAAUCGGAAUUACUGGGCGUAAAGCGCGCGUAGGCGGUCUGAUAAGCCGGUUGUGAAAGCCCCGGGCUCAACCUGGGAACGGCAUCCGGAACUGUCAGGCUAGAGUGCAGGAGAGGAAGGUAGAAUUCCCGGUGUAGCGGUGAAAUGCGUAGAGAUCGGGAGGAAUACCAGUGGCGAAGGCGGCCUUCUGGACUGACACUGACGCUGAGGUGCGAAAGCGUGGGUAGCAAACAGGAUUAGAUACCCCUGUAGUC
rnacentral:rRNA from 1 species